AGGCUGCAACUCGCCUGCAUGGAGUCGGAAUUGCUAGUAAUCGCAGAUCAGCAUGCUGCGGUGAAUACGUUCCCGGGCCUUGUACACACCGCCCGUCACACCAUGAGAGUUGGAGAUACCCGAAGCCUGUGAGCUAACUUUUAGAGGCAGCAGUCGAAGGUAGAAUCAAUGAUUGGGGUGAAGUCGUAACAAGGUAAC
rnacentral:rRNA from 1 species